UACGGAGGGUGCAAGCGUUAUUCGGAAUUACUGGGCGUAAAGCGCACGUAGGCCGCUUUGUAAGUCAGGGGUGAAAUCCCACGGCUCAACCGUGGAACUGCCCUUGAAACUGCGAAGCUUGAAUCCUGGAGAGGGUGGCGGAAUUCCUGGUGUAGGAGUGAAAUCCGUAGAUAUCAGGAGGAACACCGGUGGCGAAGGCGGCCACCUGGACAGGUAUUGACGCUGAGGUGCGAAAGUGUGGGGAGCAAACAGG
rnacentral:rRNA from 1 species